GACGUCGAACGGCUAUUCUAUUACUCAAGCUUGAGGUGGUCUGGGUAACCAGACCGGAAUAGAACAACCAAUGAAAAGUAACUCUCUACGAAAGGUCCUAGCAGUUUUAGCCAAAAAAUCAGAAAACUGGUUGCACACUCGUGGCACAUGGGUGAUUUUGAAGUCCGGGAAGCAAAUCUGCAGCGUCUCUAUCUUCUCCAAUUCUGUCGCGAAACUUGGCCACUCUUGGGGUUCCUUUAUCAUUGCUAUCAGCUCCUUGCAAUCUGUUCCAAAGCUCUAGCAUGGCG
rnacentral:lncRNA from 1 species